CUACAAUUCUUUUUCUUGGCACUUUUAUCACAUUUAAUUCAACCAAAUUUAAUGCGGAAACCGUAGAGCUCUCUAUCAGUUUCAACCAUUUCAUUGCUAUAACCCUAGACGACCAAUCGUUCAAUCACGCUCUUCGAAACAACGAAGAAAUUCCACUGGUCACUGACGAUUGUUCUUCCUUCACUCGAUCGAUCAUCCUAUUUUUUCUGCUACCACGAAACAGAUCGGUCCCAGAUGAUGGUGGUCACCAAACUUCGACUUCGUUUCCUGCUAAAAUUGAUGGUUUUGACGGCCUCUGGUUGAUUGGCGGUAGCCGGAGGGUCGAUUUGAGCAGGUGAUUUUAAUUAUUGUUAGAUCGUAUCCAAUUGUUUUCAUUCGUUCAGAUAAAUUGAAGUUCUACAGAGAAAUUGUAGUUCUGCACACAAGGUGGAGCCAGAAUUUCGAUUGAUUAUUCGUGUUCAUGGGUGGCGGGCUGCAUCAGCUUAUGUUGGUUAAUAUCUUAGGUUCAAACAGAAAGAGAAGAGACUAAAACACAACAUCACUGUUUUUAGACUUGGAUUAUCUUCAUGUAUUUUGUACGCUAGACCCUAAAAUCAAUGGUAUAAGUUCUCUAUAGAGAUAUGGGUUUAACAAAUCCGAAUGACACAUGGGUGUUGCCAUACCUUCAGUUUACUGUUGUAGAAAUUCGGUUCCAAUGUAUGUUAAAGUCUCUGCAGUUCACGUCUUCAUCUUUUUUGAUUCGCCUGCAAUUUAAGGAGUGAAUAUAGCAAAUGAAAGGGUCGAAACAAUUAUAGAUGAAAUUAAUUCAAUGAGGGAGAGAAAGAGAAGAAUACAGAGAGAGGGGGGAGAAGGCCCAAGGCUCUCCGGCCAUAGCGACAUCGAUGACGACAGCGGAUUGAAGCUCGGAUUUCCGAUGGCAGCGCCCGAUACUUGGAUGGUGGUCGAUCAUCCGAAAAGACUGGUCGUUGGGCUGAUCUGGUGGUGGUUAAAGAUCAGGUGAUGGAUUAACCGAGGGUUGAAUGGCACCAUCAUCCUCUUAAAUCGAUCAAGCUUGCAACCUGGCCAUAAUGCUGAAUCUUCCAACAUCUGACAUGAUAGAAUCAUGCUCCAUAGCAGGUCCUGGCUUUAUAAACGUUAAGUUAUCAACACAAUGGAUAGCCAAGAGAAUCCAGAAUAUGCUAUAACAGAUGGCACUGACACAUGGGCACCAAGGCUCUCUGUCAAAAGGGCGAUAGUUGACUUUUCAUCACCCAACAUUGCAAAGGAAAUGCAUGUAGGUCAUUUGAGGUCAACUAUCAUUGGAGACACGAUAGCCCGUAUGCUUGAGUAUUCUAAAGUUGAUGUGCUUCGCAGAAACCAUGUUGGGCGUGGCCAGCCAUGUGGAAUUUAAAAAAAAAACUACAAACAAAAUUAAAAAAACCUACAUUGAACCAGCCAACCACAGCCUGCCAUGUCAACCCCCCCCCCCCCAGGCAGAAUCUCCACGCCAAGCGGCCAACGCUGAUCAAAACGCCAACCCAGGGUGGAGCCCCCGGCUUUAAACGGCCAAAACCCAACAGUCAAUGUGAAACAUAAAACACUUUUAUGCAGAUUUUUCUGCACUGUACAGUGCACACUGCACAACUCUACAACAUUGACUCUUUGCUGCAAGUAAUACAGAUUUAAAACAACAAGUUUAGUUUAUUCAAGGUUCUAAAAAUUUAAUUUAAAAUAUAAUAGUUUAUCAAUAUUUUGGUUCUUUGAGGUUUAUUAGUUCUAUAUAUAGCUUAUUUUUGGUUCUAUAAAAACAUAAAGCUUCUAGAAUUGAAUUAUUGUUUUUUUUUUAUCUUAUUUUUUUUGUUUAAAGAUUAAUAACGUAGAAAAUAUUCUCUAAAAUUAUAUAUAGAGAUUUUUAGUACCAAACGCCUCGUUUACGUGAAGCUCACGCCUAGCGCUUUGCGCCUUGGUUUUUAGGGCUGCAGCCAUGGAGAAUUAUUAUUUUGAUAAAUAUUAUUUGUCAUUUAAUAUUAAUUUAUCAAUGAAUUUUUGAAAAUGACAAAAACUCACAGAUUUAACCACUUUGGUGGCAGCUCAGAGCGUUUCUAAUCGAGUGUUAUUUAGUCAAAAAUGAUUUUUUGAAAGUCUGCAAGUGUGGGUGUGGGGGUUGAUUGCUGGAAGUGGGCUUUCGAUACAUCAGGUAUGUUCACUGUUCGAAGUUUCAGGAAUCAUCUGCAUCAGGCUAGGUUCUUGGACCUGGGAACGGGUUUUGUUGUAACAACUUGACGCCUAUUAAGGUUAAUUUCAUGGACUGGAGAGUGUCACUAAAUAGGGUCUCAAUGAACCUGGAGGAUGUUUUGUCCAUGGUAUGUCCUUUGAUUCGUGCCAGCUGUACCGGAGACAGUGGAUUAUCAAAUUUAAUGAUUAUGUUCUGGGAGACUUCAAUGGUGAAGCUGUGAUAGGCCAGUUUCCCUUGUUAUGAUUGGGGGAGAAAGAGUUUGUUUACGAAUGCUGCAUAACUUCUACGGCUUCACCUGCAUCGAUAGAGGGUUCUUACAUGUUUAUCCCGGGCAGGCGUGUCGUGUUAUGCUCAUCAUAUCUUUUUUUAGCAUUUGUAUUAGAUAAAUUUGUAAAUUGUGUGUAAUCUGUUUGCAGAUUGGCGGAUCCACAACGAAGCCCCUUUGAGGUUGAAAUUGCUAGAUUUCCUUUGGUUUUGCCAGAGUACAUCUUCUGAUGCAACUAUUCUGUUAUCCAUGGUCACUAUCUUGGCUUAAAGCCGUUUGUUUGAUUUCUGUCUCGACCCGUUAGUUAUACUUGUUAGGUAACUGGCUCGGUCUUGGUCUUUUCGGGUUGGGUCUGUUCACAACUGAAUAUCGUUUUAAGGUUUGCUUUAUAUUCCCGUCUG